UAGUUAUAUGCUUGUCUCAAAGAUUAAGCCAUGCAUGUCUGAGUAUAAGCUGUUGUACGGUGAAACUGCGAAAGGCUCAUUAAAUCGGCUAUUGUUUAUUUGAUGAAGGAAGCUAGACAGAUAGCCGUAGUAAUUCUAGAGCUAAUACGUGGAAAUGGCCCGACGCAAGGAGGGCUGUAUUUAUUAGGUACUGACUAACGCAUCGCUGGUGAAUCAGAAUAACUGGUCGGAUCGCCCCGCAAGGGGGGACGGAUCAUUCAAGUUUCUGCCCUAUCAACUUUCGAUGGUUGGGUAUUGGCCAACCAUGGUGACCACGGGUAACGGGGGAUUAGGGUUCGAUUCCGGAGAGGGAGCCUGAGAAAUGGCUACCACUUCCAAGGAAGGCAGCAGGCGCGCAAAUUACCCAAUCCUGACGCAGGGAGGUAGUGACAAAACAUACUAAUGCUGGGCCUUAUGGCGCAGCAAUUGGCAUGAGUACAACUUAAACCCGUUAACGAGAACCCAUU
rnacentral:rRNA from 1 species